AGAGUUUGAUCCUGGCUCAGAACGAACGCUGGCGGCAGGCUUAACACAUGCAAGUCGAGCGCCCCGCAAGGGGAGCGGCAGACGGGUGAGUAACGCGUGGGAAUCUACCCAUCACUACGGAACAACUCCGGGAAACUGGAGCUAAUACCGUAUACGUCCUUCGGGAGAAAGAUUUAUCGGUGAUGGAUGAGCCCGCGUUGGAUUAGCUAGUUGGUGGGGUAAUGGCCUACCAAGGCGACGAUCCAUAGCUGGUCUGAGAGGAUGAUCAGCCACACUGGGACUGAGACACGGCCCAGACUCCUACGGGAGGCAGCAGUGGGGAAUAUUGGACAAUGGGCGCAAGCCUGAUCCAGCCAUGCCGCGUGAGUGAUGAAGGCCCUAGGGUUGUAAAGCUCUUUCAACGGUGAAGAUAAUGACGGUAACCGUAGAAGAGGCCCCGGCUAACUUCGUG
rnacentral:rRNA from 1 species